GAUGAACGCUGGCGGCGUGCCUAAUACAUGCAAGUCGAGCGAACAGACGAGGAGCUUGCUCCUCUGACGUUAGCGGCGGACGGGUGAGUAACACGUGGAUAACCUACCUAUAAGACUGGGAUAACUUCGGGAAACCGGAGCUAAUACCGGAUAAUAUAUUGAACCGCAUGGUGCAAUAGUGAAAGACGGUUUUGCUGUCACUUAUAGAUGGAUCCGCGCCGCAUUAGCUAGUUGGUAAGGUAACGGGUUACCACGGCGACGAUGCGUAGCCGACCUGAGAGGGUGAUCGGCCACACUGGAGCUGAGACACGGUCCAGACUCCUACGGGAGGCAGCAGUAGGGAAUCUUCCGCAGUGGGCGAAAGCCUGACGGAGCAACGCCGCGUGAGUGAUGAAGGUCUUCGGAUCGUAAAACUCUGUUAUUAGGGAAGAACAAAUGUGUAAGUAGCUAUGCACUGCUUGACGGUACCUGAUCAGAAAGCCACGGCUAACUACGUG
rnacentral:rRNA from 1 species